rnacentral:rRNA from 1 species
GACGACUCUCGACAACGGAUAUCUCGGCUCUCGCAUCGAUGAAGAACGUAGCGAAAUGCGAUACUUGGUGUGAAUUGCAGAAUCCCGUGAACCAUCGAGUCUUUGAACGCAAGUUGCGCCCGAAGCCACUAGGCUGAGGGCACGUCUGCUUGGGUGUCACGC